rnacentral:rRNA from 1 species
AUGGAACACGGUCCUUCACAUAGCGGCCAGCCAGGGCCACGUCCUUCUGGUGAGAAGGCUCUUCGCGGGCACGCCGGCGGAUGCUGCCGAGCUUCUCCCACGCGGGAACUCCAAGUCCGAGACGGCGCUGCACGUCGCCGCGAGGGCGGGGCACCACGAGAUGGUCUCCCUCCUCAUCAGGCUGGCCCAAGACCGUGCGCAUGGGCCAGGGGCGGCGCGGGUUCUGCUGUCGAGGAACAGCCGAGGGGACACGGGCACACGGCGUUGCAUGUGGCGGCGCGGCACGGGCGCCGGGCGGUGGUGGAGAGGCUGAUGGUGGCUGCUCCGGCCUUGUCGUGCGGUGUGAACGACGCUGGGGUGUCGCCCCUCUAUCUCGCCGUGUCAUGCCGCUCGACAGGCAUCGUGAAAGCUCUGGUCGGACGUAGGCACGCAGCUGCCUCUGCGUCUGGCCCCAACGGCCAGAAUGCUCUGCACGCAGCUGUUCUACAAAGCGCAGAAAUUACAAGUUAUGUUUUGAGAUGGAGCCUGGAUCUGGCUAAAGAAACUGAUGGAUUGGGAAGCACUCCCCUGCAUUAUGCUGCGUCCGACGGCGACCCGGAGAUCGUCAGCCAGCUUAUUAGCUCAGCGCCGUCAGCCAUAUAUCUGCAAGACCAACAAGGCUUCACUCCUCUGCAUAUCGCGGCAUGGAUGGGCCAUGUGGACGUCAUCCGCGACAUCUUACAAGCUUGCCCAGACGCGGCAGAGGUUACCGACAACAACGGCAGAAACUUCCUCCAUGUUGCCAUCGAGCGCGGCCACGAAUCCGUGGUAAAAUACGUCGUCGGUAGCACGUUCGCCGGCGGAGUGGUGAAUGAGCAAGACAAUAACGGGAACACGCCGCUGCACUCGGCCGUGCUUGCUGGGAAGCCAAAGCUUGCAAUUUUGCAGAGCGAGCUCCUUGACUUGAACAUUGCUAACAAUGAAGGGAGGACACCAUUUGACCUCGUCUCGGAUAUUACCAGCUUCUUGCCCAUGAUCGGCUUUGUGCUCAAGCUAUCAGCCCGGGGAGUUUGUAUCGGGACGCGACGCCAAGACUUCAUACUCCCGUGGAAGGGCGUAGAGAUGAAGGAAUGGAUCGAGAAAUUAUCCAAGAACCUAGGCAUUGUGGCAGUGCUCAUCGCCACCAUCGCCUUGACCGCCAUGUUCAACGUGCCAGGCGGAUACGACUCCAAGGGCAUGCCAAACCUGCGGGGUACGUUUCCCUACAACGCCUUUCUGGUGCUCGAUACUAUGGCGGUCGCUUCCUCCAUGAUCGCCACCAUGCUUCUCAUCUACGGGAGGGGAGCAGCGGUGCGGUCGAGUGCGGCGUGGAUAUGCUUGGCCCUCAUCUUCCUUUGGUACGCGCUCAUGGGCAUGAUCCUGUCUUUCAUGGCCGCCGUGGUCCCAGGGCUGGACAAUGCUAUCUUGAUCAAAAGGAUCAUGUGGUGCAUCUUCGCGUUGCCGUUCUUCUCCUUGGUCGUGCUUAGCUUUGUGUGGGCAGCACCGGCACCAACCAUCACCAGCGUAGGGCUACUGUUCCGUGCCCAAAUCGGAGAAGACCGCAUGCGCACAAGAAGGCACGCCGGGCGACGUUUCCCCCUAGUGGGUUUCUACCUCAGUGUUCUCUACUUGUUCUGGUUCCUCAAUGCUAUAGCUUUUGCUUUCACUCUGCAUAUCAUCAUGAUCACAGUCUGA